rnacentral:rRNA from 1 species
UACGUAGGGUGCGAGCGUUGUCCGGAAUUACUGGGCGUAAAGAGCUCGUAGGUGGUUUGUCGCGUUGUUCGUGAAAACUCACAACUCAAUUGUGGGCGUGCGGGCGAUACGGGCAGACUGGAGUACUGCAGGGGAGACUGGAAUUCCUGGUGUAGCGGUGGAAUGCGCAGAUAUCAGGAGGAACACCAAUGGCGAAGGCAGAUCUCUGGGCCGUAACUGACGCUGAGGAGCGAAAGCAUGGGGAGCGAACAGG